rnacentral:rRNA from 1 species
GACGAACGCUGGCGGCGUGCCUAACACGUGCAAGUCAACUUGACUGAAGGAGCAAUCUGACAGUAGAGUGGCGCAAGGGUGCGUAACGCGUAAGUAACUUGCCCCAAGGUAAGGAAUAACGUCGAGAAAUCGGCGCUAAUACCUCAUAAUGCAGCGGAUCCGCAUGGAUAUGUUGUUAAAGGUUUACCGCCUUGGGAUAGGCUUGCGUCUGAUUAGCUAGUUGGUGUGGUAACGGCACACCAAGGCUACGAUCAGUAACUGGUCUGAGAGGAUGAUCAGUCACACUGGAACUGAGACACGGUCCAGACUCCUACGGGAGGCAGCAGUGAGGAAUAUUGGGCAAUGCUCGAAAGAGUGACCCAGCAACGCCGCGUGGAGGAUGAAGGGUAAUUCUAUAUCGUAAACUACCUGUGAGAGCAGACGAAAGACAGAUUAUUAAUCUGGAUGACUGUAUGCUCAGAGGAAGACCCCGGCUAACUACGUGCCACG